GGGUUGUGAGGUUAAGCGACUAAGCGUACACGGUGGAUGCCCUGGCAGUCAGAGGCGAUGAAGGACGUGCUAAUCUGCGAAAAGCGUCGGUAAGGUGAUAUGAACCGUUAUAGCCGGCGAUGUCCGAAUGGGGAAACCCAGUGCAAUUCGUUGCACUAUCGUUAACUGAAUACAUAGGUUAACGAGGCGAACCGGGGGAACUGAAACAUCUAAGUACCCCGAGGAAAAGAAAUCAACCGAGAUUCCCCCAGUAGCGGCGAGCGAACGGGGAGCAGCCCAGAGUCUGAAUCAGCUUGUGUGUUAGUGGAACGGUCUGGAAAGUCCGACGGUACAGGGUGAUAGUCCCGUACACCAAAAUGCACAGGUUGUGAACUCGAAGAGUAGGGCGGGACACGUGGUAUCCUGUCUGAAUAUGGGGGGACCAUCCUCCAAGGCUAAAUACUCCUGACUGACCGAUAGUGAACCAGUACCGUGAGGGAAAGGCGAAAAGAACCCCGGCGAGGGGAGUGAAAAAGAACCUGAAACCGUGUACGUACAAGCAGUGGGAGCACCUUCGGGUGUGACUGCGUACCUUUUGUAUAAUGGGUCAGCGACUUAUAUUCUGUAGCAAGGUUAACCGUAUAGGGGAGCCGCAGGGAAACCGAGUCUUAACUGGGCGUUAAGUUGCAGGGUAUAGACCCGAAACCCGGUGAUCUAGCCAUGGGCAGGUUGAAGGUUGGGUAACACUAACUGGAGGACCGAACCGACUAAUGUUGAAAAAUUAGCGGAUGACUUGUGGCUGGGGGUGAAAGGCCAAUCAAACCGGGAGAUAGCUGGUUCUCCCCGAAAGCUAUUUAGGUAGCGCCUCGUGAAUUCAUCUUCGGGGGUAGAGCACUGUUUCGGCUAGGGGGUCAUCCCGACUUACCAACCCGAUGCAAACUACGAAUACCGAAGAAUGUUAUCACGGGAGACACACGGCGGGUGCUAACGUCCGUCGUGAAGAGGGAAACAACCCAGACCGCCAGCUAAGGUCCCAAAGUCAUGGUUAAGUGGGAAACGAUGUGGGAAGGCACAGACAGCCAGGAUGUUGGCUUAGAAGCAGCCAUCAUUUAAAGAAAGCGUAAUAGCUCACUGGUCGAGUCGGCCUGCGCGGAAGAUGUAACGGGGCUAAACCAUGCACCGAAGCUGCGGCAGCGACACUAUGUGUUGUUGGGUAGGGGAGCGUUCUGUAAGCCUGCGAAGGUGACCUGUGAGGGUUGCUGGAGGUAUCAGAAGUGCGAAUGCUGACAUAAGUAACGAUAAAGCGGGUGAAAAGCCCGCUCGCCGGAAGACCAAGGGUUCCUGUCCAACGUUAAUCGGGGCAGGGUGAGUCGACCCCUAAGGCGAGGCCGAAAGGCGUAGUCAAUGGGAAACAGGUUAAUAUUCCUGUACUUGGUGUUACUGCGAAGGGGGGACGGAGAAGGCUAUGUUAGCCGGGCGACGGUUGUCCCGGUUUAAGCAUGUAGGCUGGUUGUCCAGGCAAAUCCGGAUAAUCAAGGCUGAGGUGUGAUGACGAGGCACUACGGUGCUGAAGUAACAAAUGCCCUGCUUCCAGGAAAAGCCUCUAAGCAUCAGGUAACAUCAAAUCGUACCCCAAACCGACACAGGUGGUCAGGUAGAGAAUACCAAGGCGCUUGAGAGAACUCGGGUGAAGGAACUAGGCAAAAUGGUGCCGUAACUUCGGGAGAAGGCACGCUGGUGUGUAGGUGAAGUCCCUGCGGAUGGAGCUGAGACCAGUCGAAGAUACCAGCUGGCUGCAACUGUUUAUUAAAAACACAGCACUGUGCAAACACGAAAGUGGACGUAUACGGUGUGACGCCUGCCCGGUGCCGGAAGGUUAAUUGAUGGGGUUAUCCGUAAGGAGAAGCUCUUGAUCGAAGCCCCGGUAAACGGCGGCCGUAACUAUAACGGUCCUAAGGUAGCGAAAUUCCUUGUCGGGUAAGUUCCGACCUGCACGAAUGGCGUAAUGAUGGCCAGGCUGUCUCCACCCGAGACUCAGUGAAAUUGAACUCGCUGUGAAGAUGCAGUGUACCCGCGGCAAGACGGAAAGACCCCGUGAACCUUUACUAUAGCUUGACACUGAACAUUGAGCCUUGAUGUGUAGGAUAGGUGGGAGGCUUUGAAGCGUGGACGCCAGUCUGCGUGGAGCCAACCUUGAAAUACCACCCUUUAAUGUUUGAUGUUCUAACGUUGGCCCCUGACCGGGGUUGCGGACAGUGUCUGGUGGGUAGUUUGACUGGGGCGGUCUCCUCCCAAAGCGUAACGGAGGAGCACGAAGGUUAGCUAAUCCUGGUCGGACAUCAGGAGGUUAGUGCAAUGGCAUAAGCUAGCUUGACUGCGAGCGUGACGGCGCGAGCAGGUGCGAAAGCAGGUCAUAGUGAUCCGGUGGUUCUGAAUGGAAGGGCCAUCGCUCAACGGAUAAAAGGUACUCCGGGGAUAACAGGCUGAUACCGCCCAAGAGUUCAUAUCGACGGCGGUGUUUGGCACCUCGAUGUCGGCUCAUCACAUCCUGGGGCUGAAGUAGGUCCCAAGGGUAUGGCUGUUCGCCAUUUAAAGUGGUACGCGAGCUGGGUUUAGAACGUCGUGAGACAGUUCGGUCCCUAUCUGCCGUGGGCGCUGGAGAAUUGAGGGGGGCUGCUCCUAGUACGAGAGGACCGGAGUGGACGCAUCACUGGUGUUCGGGUUGUCAUGCCAAUGGCACUGCCCGGUAGCUAAAUGCGGAAGAGAUAAGUGCUGAAAGCAUCUAAGCACGAAACUUGCCCCGAGAUGAGUUCUCCCUGAGACUUUAAGUCUCCUGAAGGAACGUUGAAGACGACGACGUUGAUAGGCCGGGUGUGUAAGCGCAGCGAUGCGUUGAGCUAACCGGUACUAAUGAACCGUGAGGCUUAACCUUACAACGCCGAAG
rnacentral:rRNA from 1 species